rnacentral:rRNA from 1 species
GAGAAAUUGACUGUCUCUAAUUAAUUUUAUUAGAAUUUUAUUUUUAAGUUAAAAAGCUUAAAUAUAUUUAAAAGACGAGAAGACCCUGUAGAGUUUAAUAUAUUUAAUUUAUUAAUUUUAAGAAUUUAUUUUUUAUAACUAUGGUAUAUUUAAUUGGGGUGAUUAAAAAAUUUAAUAAACUUUUUUUUUAUAUUUAUAUUUAUUAAUAAAUUAAUGAUCCAAAAAUUUUGAUUAUAAGAUAAAUUACCUUAGGGAUAACAGCGUAAUUUUAUUAGAGAGUUCUAAUCGAAAAUAAAGUUUGCGACCUCGAUGUUGGAUUAAAAUUUAUAUAUGGUGUAGAAGCUAUAUUAUUAAGUCUGUUCGACUUUUAAAAUUUUAC